ensembl:snRNA U6 U6 spliceosomal RNA
GUGCUCGUUUCAGCAGCACAUAUACUAAAAUUGGAAUGAUACAGAGAAGAUUAGCAUGGCUUCUGCACAAGAAUGACACACAAACGCAUGAAGCAUUCCAUAUUUUU